UCUCCUGUAGCUCAGUGGUAGAGCGUCCCGACCGGUGUGCGGAUGGUCAUACGUAGGUUCGACUCCUGUUGGGGGAA